CCUAUGGAUUGUAAACUGCUUUUACACCGGAGAAAACCCCCCUAUGCGUAGGGGGCUGAUAGUAUGGUGAGAAUAAGCAUCGGCUAACUUCGUGC
rnacentral:rRNA from 1 species